UAACACGUGUGCAACCAACCCCGUACCGGGAGAUAACCCGCGGAAACGUGGACUAACAUCCCAUAAGACUCUAGAGCCGCAUGGCUCUGGAUUUAAAAUUCCGGUGGUACGGGACGGGCACGCGCGACAUUAGGUAGUUGGCGGGGUAACGGCCCACCAAGCCGACGAUGUCUAGGGGUUCUGAGAGGAAGGUCCCCCACACUGGAACUGAGACACGGUCCAGACUCC
rnacentral:rRNA from 1 species